rnacentral:rRNA from 1 species
AGCAGCCGCGGUAAUUCCAGCUCCAAUAGCGUAUAUUAAGGUUGUUGCAGUUAAAAAGCUCGUAGUUGAAUUUUGGAUUCUGCCAGUUGGUCCAUCUUUUGAUGAGUACUGAUUGUGUGGGGUCUAUCCGCCUGGGGAGACGGAAUGUACUUUAUUGUAUGUUGCGGGUAGCCAGGACCUUUACCUUGAAAAAAUUAGAGUGUUUAAAGCAGGCUCAUGCCGGAAUACAUUAGCAUGGAAUAAUAGAAUAGGACGAUGUUGUUUUAUUUUGUUGGUUUCUAGGACAAUCGUAAUGAUUAAUAGGGAUAGUUGGGGGCAUUAGUAUUCAAUUGUCAGAGGUGAAAUUCUUGGAUUUAUUGAAGACUAACUACUGCGAAAGCAUUUGCCAAGGAUGUUUUCAUUAAUCAAGAACGAAAGUUAGGGGAUCGAAGACGAUCAGAUACCGUCGUAGUCUUAACCAUAAACUAUGCCG